CAUGCAGUCGAGCGGACAGAAGGGAGCUUGCUCCCGGAUGUUAGCGGCGGACGGGUGAGUAACACGUGGGUAACCUGCCUGUAAGACUGGGAUAACUCCGGGAAACCGGAGCUAAUACCGGAUAGUUCCUUGAACCGCAUGGUUCAAGGAUGAAAGACGGUUUCGGCUGUCACUUACAGAUGGACCCGCGGCGCAUUAGCUAGUUGGUGGGGUAAUGGCUCACCAAGGCGACGAUGCGUAGCCGACCUGAGAGGGUGAUCGGCCACACUGGGACUGAGACACGGCCCAGACUCCUACGGGAGGCAGCAGUAGGGAAUCUUCCGCAAUGGACGAAAGUCUGACGGAGCAACGCCGCGUGAGUGAUGAAGGUUUUCGGAUCGUAAAGCUCUGUUGUUAGGGAAGAACAAGUGCGAGAGUAACUGCUCGCACCUUGACGGUACCUAACCAGAAAGCCACGGCUAACUACGUGCCAGCAGCCGCGGUAAUACGUAGGUGGCAAGCGUUGUCCGGAAUUAUUGGGCGUAAAGGGCUCGCAGGCGGUUUCUUAAGUCUGAUGUGAAAGCCCCCGGCUCAACCGGGGAGGGUCAUUGGAAACUGGGAAACUUGAGUGCAGAAGAGGAGAGUGGAAUUCCACGUGUAGCGGUGAAAUGCGUAGAGAUGUGGAGGAACACCAGUGGCGAAGGCGACUCUCUGGUCUGUAACUGACGCUGAGGAGCGAAAGCGUGGGGAGCGAACAGGAUUAGAUACCCUGGUAGUCCACGCC
rnacentral:rRNA from 1 species